UACGAAGGGUGCAAGCGUUAAUCGGAAUUACUGGGCGUAAAGGGUGCGUAGGCGGUUUGUUAAGUCUGUUGUGAAAUCCCCGGGCUCAACCUGGGAAUGGCAAUGGAUACUGGCAGGCUAGAGUGUGUCAGAGGAUGGUGGAAUUCCCGGUGUAGCGGUGAAAUGCGUAGAGAUCGGGAGGAACAUCAGUGGCGAAGGCGGCCAUCUGGGACAACACUGACGCUGAAGCACGAAAGCGUGGGGAGCAAACAGG
rnacentral:rRNA from 1 species